rnacentral:rRNA from 1 species
AGACGAACCGUGCGAACGUUAUUCGGAAUCAUUGGGCUUAAAGAGCACGUAGGCGGCGACGUAAGUUGGAGGUGAAAUCCUAUCGGCUCAACCGUGGAAUUGCCCCCAAUACUGCGUUGCUUGAGGAAGGUAGGGGCAGGUGGAACUUCCAGUGGAGCGGUGAAAUGUGUUGAGAUUGGAAGGAACGCCAGUGGCGAAAGCGACCUGCUGGAUCUUUUCUGACGCUGAGGUGCGAAAGCUAGGGGAGCAAACGGGAUUAGAUACCCCGGUAGUCCUAGCCGUAAACGAUGGGUACUGGGUAGGAAGCGUUCCGAUGGCGCCUCCUGCCGAAGCGAAAGUGUUAAGUACCCCGCCUGGGGAGUAUGGUCGCAAGGCUGAA